rnacentral:rRNA from 1 species
UACAGAGGGUGCAAGCGUUGUUCGGAAUUAUUGGGCGUAAAGCGCGUGUAGGCGGCUUAGCAAGUCGGGCGUGAAAGCCCUCGGCUCAACCGAGGAAGUGCACCCGAAACUGCCGAGCUUGAGUGCCGGAGAGGAUGGCGGAAUUCCCCAAGUAGAGGUGAAAUUCGUAGAUAUGGGGAGGAACACCGGUGGCGAAGGCGGCCAUCUGGACGGUAACUGACGCUGAGACGCGAAAGCGUGGGUAGCAAACAGG